rnacentral:rRNA from 1 species
AGAGUUUGAUCAUGGCUCAGAACGAACGCUGGCGGCGUGCUUAACACAUGCAAGUCGCGCGAGAAAGGGGCUUUUAGCUCCGAGUAAAGCGGCGCACGGGUGCGUAACACGUGGAUAAUCUGCCUUCGGGGCCGGGAUAACCUUCCGAAAGGAGGGCUAAUACCGGAUGAGCCCACGGGACCUUGGGGUUCUGGGGGAAAAGCUGGCCUCUGCAAGCAAGCCAGUGCCUGAAGAUGAGUCCGCGGCCCAUCAGCUAGUUGGCGGGGUAAUGGCCCACCAAGGCAACGACGGGUAGCUGGUCUGAGAGGACGAUCAGCCACACUGGAACUGAGACACGGUCCAGACUCCUACGGGAGGCAGCAGUGGGGAAUCUUGCGCAAUGGGCGAAAGCCUGACGCAGCAACGCCGCGUGAGUGAUGAAGGUCUUCGGAUCGUAAAGCUCUUUCGGCAGGGAAGAAUGGCCCUGGGGCGAACACCCCCGGGGCGUGACGGUACCUGCAGAAGAAGCACCGGCUAACUCUGUGCCAGCAGCCGCGGUAAUACAGAGGGUGCGAGCGUUGUUCGGAAUUAUUGGGCGUAAAGCGCGUGUA